UUAGCAAUUCGUCAUCUUCUUCGUUCUAACUGGAGAACCUAUGACGAUUCAUAUCUUCUAUUCUGUUUAAUAACGUCAGAUCCAUUACUCUUUCUCAUUAAACCUCCUCUUUAAUCCAUCAAUCGGAAGACAUGCUAACGUUCAGACUCCUUUUGUUUGUGAGGUCAUAUAAACUCUUAUUCUCAUUCUCUGCUCCGCCCAAAAACUCACGAAACCUCCAAAAUUCACCCAUCGUCGAUAGACCUUCUUCUUCGUCUUCUCCGUUUCCUCAUCCUCAAAUUGAUUAUUAUAUGAUUUUGGAUGUUCUCAAUGGCACUGAUAACCUUUCUUUCUCUCUCUCUCUCUCUCAGCGACAGUCUUAUCGGAGAUUAGGCCGGAACGGCGACUGCAGAGUCGAUUAGCGCAAGAGCUCGAUCCAAGAUUCCGGAGCCGGUCAUUAGAAUCAUGACUUCCUCUCGAUUCAUAAGUUUCAAAAUACCAAUCUUAGUCCUCCUUGAAACAUAUGAAGAACACAACCGUAGCUGCUUCCAGUAUUCUCUGAAGAGUUGGUCUUUCAAUUGGUCCGCAACUGCGUCGAGCCAUUGGCAAAGUCAAAGAAUUUGAGAGAUUUGCAUCAAGAGUCACUGUCGACCGGCUUCCAUAGGAAGAGCUCACCGCCACCAAAUCACUGUCUACCGCCGCGUUAAUGGUGUUUCUGUUCAUCUUAGCCUUUGAGUGAUCGAAAGUUUUCACCUUUUUAUGAAAUAUGAUUCAAUCGUGAAUCUUGGGAAUAUCUGUUAGAUGAAGAAGCUCGGAGAACAACGAACGAUGAUAGUGUUUUGGAAGAACGAGACCCACAAUAUGAUACAAUGUUGAAUCAAAUGGUGGGGAGAAUAAAGGCUAAACCAGGAAGCAAAGCUGAGAUGGGAGAGCUGAUUGUUUCUUUAGGUGAAGAAUUCAAAAUGUUCAUGAGCUGCCGAGUUAGUUCAUAAUUUUGCUGAAGAAAGUUUCCAUGGCCACCGCUUCUGUCAUUUAUGAUUCUGUGAACUUCUCCUACUUUUUUUUUUGAUUUUGACGAUGAUGAUAUAAAUGUGCAUUUUUCCCAAGAUGAGAUUUCACGAGUUGGAGCCUGCUGUAUUGUCAAUGUCAAGAAUCAAUAUGUCAGGCCUUCUAAUGAAGAUCCACUUCAAGCUUUAAUCCAGGACACGUUUUUGGACAAAGCAGAAUCCAGUCUCCUUCUUUUCAGUUAUGUAAGUCAUACAAUUUGCUUCCAGCGCAGAGCUGUUGAGUGUCCUGCUAUUUUGGAAACCAGUGUUGAAUAGGAUUACUUCUUCAAAUUCAGUCAUGGAAACAUGAUUUCAACGUAUAAAAACUUCUCAUUAAAAAAUGAAUUUUCUGUGGUGUGAUUGACAAGGAUCAGUUUGAGGACUAUGGGUUGGCUUAUACAUACCCAAAGCUUUAUGGUUCAAGUGCUGCAGGAAACCUGCUUUCUGUUUUUAGUUGUCUCUUCACGGUUUUCCUUCGGGGUUUUUCUCUUUAUAUGGAUUUAGAGAGGACGAAGCAACUUCAAAAAUGUGAAGUGGUUUGUCAAAAAAAGUACUCUAUAAGACCUUUGGCCUUGAUGUCAAUGCGCAGAUAAAUAGGUAUUCAGAACGAUGGAGGAAAACGAAGAAAUGGAAAAGCAAAGAGAAAUGCGAGAGGAAGGAGUGGACACGGUAUCCAAAUGGAAAAAACACAAGUCAAUAAUAGAUAAUAACCCAACAUCAAAAUAAAUAAAAAAAACAUUUUAAUAAAACUGGGCCAUAAAUACAAGGACUACGUAGAAAAUGAAAACGUCAACCAAGUCCAAAAUAAGUGAUCAGUAUGUUUUUUUGAUCAAAAGUAAUUAGUGUGUAAAAGCAAAAACAAAGCUAACGAACCCCCGCUGGAGAAGAGGACCUACCAAGCUGUCUUGAAGAGCUAGCUGGCAAAGAGUUUGUGUUCCAGAUUCGUGGAACUCUUUACAAUUUCACCUAACUAUCUAAUUUAUGUUUUUAUACAAGAACUUGGAGAGAAGUAGGGAGUUAGCUACUCGGAGGCUGAGAUAAUUACUAGAUGCAAAAGAGACUAUCAUAAACUAAGGGGCGGAUCACCUCAGGUAUCAUUCCCUGAUCUCCACUAUACGAAACCUGAUGCAUACCGGAAGGAGCGAGAGGACAACAAGGCGAAGCAAUGGAUCAGAUGAGAGAAGAAAAAAGCAGGUAGCCAAAUUGAAAGAGAAUUGUGUUUAAAAAAGCAUGCUAAGGCUUCACUAAGGCGUGAGGCGAUUUUUGUUUGGGGGUUCACCGCCUCGGAGUCGUGAAGCAAGUCAAACUCAAGUAAGGGAUGCAUGUGAGGGCCCGUGUUAUGGCUGCAGCUCGUGUCAGGGCCCGUAAUCUCUCUUUAUGUUCUUUUGGUCUUGACCGUUCUUGUGAGGGAUUUUAGAUCAAUGAAGAGGCAAAUCAAUAUUUUGAAGAG